rnacentral:misc_RNA from 1 species
CAUCUCCUGGUUUCCAGUGAGAUGAACCCCAACUGGUCCUCUUUUUCCCAUUGAAGUACCCAACUUUCUUUCUCUAUUGUUUCUUUCUUUUCCCAGGAAAGACAAUCAAAGCCCUUAAUUGUGCCAUUCUUUAGUGAUUUGAUUCUUGGCUAAAGUUUCGAAAAAUGGGUCUCAAAGGUUUUGCUGAAGGAGGCAUAGCUUCAAUUAUUGCUGGGUGCUCCACUCACCCUCUGGAC